UUAAUUGGGCUGGCUGGCAACUAAAAGACCACAGAAACACAGAAAUACCCUUCGUGGGGCUUAGGGAUGGCUCUGAGACCUCAGGUGUCAGCUCCCACACUGGAGAGCAAGAGGAGCAAAGAAGGCCCGAGAGAGCCAGCAUACCCUGAGCCCUUCUAUUUGUUAGAGAAAAGACAUUCCAUAGAAUAUUCCAUCCAAAUAAGGCAAGGGAUUGUGUUACAACAAACAGGGGGUGUAGCCAGUCCCAUUGGGUGACGCCCAAUCCCAGAGCUGCACUUCCUUGUCCAGUGAAGGUAAGGCCCACUGGCUUCACACUGCAUGCAAUGCCACUUCAACACCUUCAUUAUUCAAGGCUAAGGGGGCAAGCUCAGCUCCUAUUCAGGGUGGCCCCCAACACUUAAAGGUUCUUUGAAAUAUGGAACUUGAAACACUCACCAAUAGCUCAUAUUCUGUCAUGUUAAAAUAUAUAUAUAUCUAUCUUUCACAUUGAAUAGAUCUCGUGCUAAUAUAUGAGUAUAGAAAAAGAAAUAUAUUGUUUUCUCAAAUUAUAUUCUUUUUACAGUGUUGCAUACUUAAGAGCAGAUGAUCAAAAGCCAUAUUUGAUAAUAUUAUUACAGAGGCCUCAGAAAAGGAUGUACGUAUUCAGAAACUGUCAGAUUUAGGGUGGUGGGUAGAAGUCCUUCAAAAUUCUUUCUCUUCAGAGCUUCUAUUCUAUCACUGUCAAAUAUACUGCCAGUGCAUUAUCUUGAAGGAACAAGCUCACACUUAGUUUUGAGACAGUGUCAGGCAACAAUUUUAGAAAUCACACUUUCUGUGUCAUGCAUUCUUUCAAGUAAAAUGGUAGUCCCUAAAAAAGCAGUCAAUACAGCUCAUAAAAUGGUUUUGCUGACACAAACAUUCUAUUUGGAAUGCACUGAAAGUGAUACACAUGGGCUUUCCAUUUAAUCAUGAGAUAUUUUGAAAAUGAGGACCCUAGAAUAAAUAAUUGAUAAAGUUAACAAUUUCGAACAAUCUCACCAGGACAUGUUUAAUUGCAACUGACUUUUUUGUCUUCUGCAACUAAGAGGUGAUGUAGAGAACAAUAACUGUGUUAGCUUCCAUUCUGCAAGUUUUACUUUCAUGCAAAUAAUGUCUGGGUAGCAUUAUAAAAUUGGCUUGUGACUCUUGUGACAGUGUGACAGUGAGUAUCUAAGCACACCCAAAUAUUCCACAGACCACUUUGAGCACUGCUGCUCGGAAAACCCAGGAGAGUUCCCAACUGUCCCCAUCCUCUUUGCCUCUUCAUUAUGUCCAGAUCAUCUCCUGAGCUGUAUUCUCUGGUGCUCUGCCCUGGAGGACAAGCCACCCCCUAAAUAUUUGAUGCCACAACUGUCCUUUUUCUGGGAACAGAGAUGAAGGGACAUGUUUCUCUUUGCUAUUGGUAACAGUUUGUGGGUGAAGGCACCAGAGAGAUAAUCACUCAUAACCUCUUAUGGAAGCCUGUGUCCAUAUCAGGGCACACCAGUCUUCAUGAGAAAUAAUAUUGGCUCUUUUCAUUUUAAGUGGGUGUAGUGGUGCAGUUACUGUAGUCUGUGAGGUUGCUGUAUCAAAAAUGCAACAAACCGGGUGGCUUAUUAACAACAGAUAUUUGUUUCUCACAGAUCUGGAGACUGAAAAAUCCAAGAUGGAGGUGCUAACACUUCAUUCCUAGUGAGAGAAACUUCGUCAUAGACAGCCAUCUUCUCACUACAUCCUCAGAGGGCUACUGGCCACAGCAGCUCUCUGGAUUCUGCUUUAGGAGGUCCUAAUUCUAGUCAUGAGGGUCAUUACUAAUUAUCAUGAGAGUCAUGACUAAUUAUAAUCAGCCUUUAUAUGUAUUUAGAAGGGACCUAAGCUUAGUCUGGCAGCAGUACUGUUGGUAAGAAUACUACGUAGUGAUGAAAUUGUUGUAUCUCUGCACCUUCUAAUAAGGUAGCCACUACUUGCAUGUGUCUAUUUAGCAUUUAAAUGUGGCUGGCCAACUAAACAGUUGAAUUUUAAUUUUUUUUGUGAAUUGAAACAUAAAUAACUAUGUCUAGUUCACUGUUACUAUUGAUGACAGUGCAUAUCUAGUGUAUUCUUAAUAUUCAGUCUCCUACCCACAAAGAUACACUUGACUCCUGGAUGGAAGUCAGUUAAAAUAUCCUUAUAUAAAAACUGGGGCUUUGGUUGGAUGAUAUGGGGGAUGAAUAAGGAAGUAGGAUUUCACUCUAGAUUGGGUGGUGUCCAGAAGAGGGAGAUUAUGGGAUGAAAUGAAUAAGUAAAUCUUAGCCAUAGUAAGUACAGACUUGAGCAGGAAUAAAUUUGUAAAGAAGGUGCUGUCACCAAUUCACAGUAGCUAAAUUAUGGAACCAACCUUGAUGCUCUUUGGUAGAUAAAUGGAUAGAGAAACUUUGGUAUAUAUACACAAAGGAACAUUACUCAUGACAUUUGCAUGUGAAUGGAUGAAGUUAGAGAAUAUAAUGCUAAGUGAAGCAAGCCAAUCCCCAAAAAAACCAAAGGCCAAAUAUUUGCUUUGAUAUGAGGAUGCUGACUCAUAAUGGUGAUGGGCUGGGGUGGGGGAAGGAGCAUGAGAAGAACGGAGGAACUUUAGGUAGAGCAAAGGGGAGGGAGGGGGCAGGGGGUUAGAAUGAUGGUGGAAUGAGUUAGACAUCAUUACCUAAGUACCCAAAUAAGACGCGAUGGAGUGAAAAUAAUUUGUGUACAAUCAGUAACUUGAAAAAUUGUGCUCUAUAUGUGUAAUAUGAAAUGAAUCGCAUUCUGCCAUAACAUAAGACAAAUUAGAAUAAAAAAGUUGCUAUUAUUCAUAUCCACCUAUAUAGGAAGCUGGCUAGUGUUCUGUUAAUUGCACAAUUCCUAAACUUUUUAAGGUGCUUAGAAAAAGUUGUUAUGUACUACUUUUGUUUUACCUUAUUUUGUGUGUUUCAGAAUGAACUUGUCUGACAUUGCUUCUUAGUAUGCAUUUUGUCCAACAGGGAAUAGCAUGGCCUCACUAUAUGCACCACAAUAGCUCUUAACAACUCUGACCCCUAGCUCUAAGUGCCAGAGCAGUUUCAAUAUGUCAGGAUCUGAUUUUCUUCUUUCUUAAAUUCAAUAUUCUGUAGUGCCUACAUUCCUAAUCAAAAUGAAUAAGAAUAUCAGCAUACAACUUGGUAAAGAAGAAAGGCACAAAUUGAAAAAAUAUAUUAACAAUAAUUUAUUUCACCUGCAUUGUCACAAGAGACAUGCAUAUUCAGCAGACAUUACAAAAAUAAAUUAAACAUCCCUAUUGACUUCUGUAGUGAGUAAGGUUCAUGGGUUCAUGAAAACAGAUAAGCAGGACACCUCAGAGUACCCUGGCCACAAUUCUUUCUCAAUAACAUCUAAAAUAUGCAAAAACAGUUAUGGAAUUUAAUGCUCCUUCUAGCUAUUAGUUGUAUCUAUUUGCAUUCAUUCUAAUUGUGGUUUAGAAAUUGAAAACUACAUCUUUAAUUUUUUAGAACCUACUUUAGGUAACACUUACACUCAGUAAAAUACAGGAAAUUUAUAGCAGCAUGUUUCCAGUUAACCACCCUUCUGUAAUAUCACUAUGUAUACUACAUCAGUGUUCAUUGUAAACCUAGCCAGACAGUGUAAUGCAUUGUGCUAUAAAAGUCAUCUGUCCUUUUACAUAUUAAAAAAUAAUAUAUGUAAAAUAUUGUCAUGUUCUAUUGCUAGUUAUUCCUUUCUGUACAAAUUAGUUACCAUCUUUGACUAUUAAACUUUAGGCUUUUCUUCAUUUCAAAUUACAUGUGGUGAAAGACUGCUAGCAAGGAAUCCUGCCAAAUUUUAUUCAUCAGAUAAAUACCUUGUUUUGCUCUUUUUGUCUAUGAAGAGAUUGAUGUGAAAUAAAAUUCACUAAUUUGGGGUGUAAAGUUGUUUUGAAUCAUUUACCACCACUAUGACCAGAAUAUGUUCUUAUGUACCCUUGUCCCAAACUCUGAACUCUUCUGCUUUCUUGUGUGACCCUCUCCUCUACUCCAGCUCCAGGUGAUCACCAAUCUGCUUUCUGAAUAGAAUUUUGAAUAUGCUGAAAUUUCAUGUACAUGCAACCAUAUAGUAUAUAAUCUUUGCUAUAACAGUUAUUUUAAGCUUUGUUAUGUUAUUGUGUGUGCAUUAAUAUUUCAUUCAUUUUUAAUACUGGAUAUUACUGAAAUAAUAGUUAUUGUUUGGUAUUGUCACAACUCUCUUUAACAUUAUCCAUUCUAGUUGAGGUGAGGUGGUAUCUCAUUGUGAUUUUAAUUUGUACAUCUUUGGAGACUAUUGAUGGUGAGCAUCUUUUCAAUAAUUAUUAGGGACUUGUCUAGCUUAGCCUCUGAACUCUUCUUGACAUUUCUUGUCCAUGGAGGUAAGGGCUGGUUGUCUCAUUAUUGAAUUGGAAAUGUUCUCCUUAUAUUAUGGAUACUGGCUGUAUAACAAAUAUAUUUCCUGCAAAAAGUUUUUCUUCUUUUCUGUGGUUUGUGUUUUCAUCUCCUUUACUAUGGUUAUUAAAAGUUGGCAUUAAGCAUGAUUCAAUCCAUUUCAUCACUUUUGUUUUAUAUUUUGUACCUUUUGCUUUAUACUUUAUGUAGUCAAAAUUUUGUUAACACAAUUUCAAUAAUUUUUCCUCUAUGUUUGUAAAAUGAUGUUCAGUAGCUUUAUUGCAUUAGAUAUGUUGUGAUUUAAAUCUUGAUUAUGAUGUGACAAAAUGAUUGAGUUCAUUUCCUUUUCCCAUAUGGAUGUCCAGGUGUUCCUGUAACAUGUGUUGAAACCCUACGUUUUCUCCAUUGAAUUAUCUUGGCAAUUUUUUCAAAAAUGUGAUCUAUGUGUCUGUUCUUACAUCAAUGCCAUGUUUUGCUCAUUACUGUGAUUUCAUUAGUUUUAGAAUAAACUAUUUUAAGCUUUCCAAUUUCGUUCUUAAUUUUCAAAAUGAUUUAUAUAUUUUAGGGUGCUAUAACAUUGAUCUUGAGUGUCCC
rnacentral:lncRNA from 1 species